rnacentral:rRNA from 1 species
GCUCAGGAUGAACGCUAGCUACAGGCUUAACACAUGCAAGUCGAGGGGCAGCAUGGUCUUAGCUUGCUAAGGCCGAUGGCGACCGGCGCACGGGUGAGUAACACGUAUCCAACCUGCCGUCUACUCUUGGACAGCCUUCUGAAAGGAAGAUUAAUACAAGAUGGCAUCAUGAGUCCGCAUGUUCACAUGAUUAAAGGUAUUCCGGUAGACGAUGGGGAUGCGUUCCAUUAGAUAGUAGGCGGGGUAACGGCCCACCUAGUCUUCGAUGGAUAGGGGUUCUGAGAGGAAGGUCCCCCACAUUGGAACUGAGACACGGUCCAAACUCCUACGGGAGGCAGCAGU